rnacentral:rRNA from 1 species
UCCCAGACUCCUACGGGAGGCAGCAGUGGGGAAUAUUGCACAAUGGGGGAAACCCUGAUGCAGCAACGCCGCGUGAGUGAAGAAGUAUUUCGGUAUGUAAAGCUCUAUCAGCAGGGAAGAGAAUGACGGUACCUGACUAAGAAGCCCCGGCUAACUACGUGCCAGCAGCCGCGGUAAUACGUAGGGGGCAAGCGUUAUCCGGAUUUACUGGGUGUAAAGGGAGCGUAGACGGCCAGACAAGUCUGAAGUGAAAAUCCAGCGCUUAACGUUGGAAGUGCUUUGGAAACUGCCGGGCUGGAGUGCAGGAGGGGCAGGCGGAAUUCCUAGUGUAGCGGUGAAAUGCGUAGAUAUUAGGAGGAACACCAGUGGCGAAGGCGGCCUGCUGGACUGCAACUGACGUUGAGGCUCGAAGGCGUGGGGAGCAAACAGGAUUAGAUACCCCAGUA